rnacentral:lncRNA from 1 species
UCACUCGCCAGCCCGCGGGGGCGCGGCGCCCCAGCUCCCGGCCCCGGGCCUGUCUAGGACCCCCGCCCAGUCCAGGGAGGGGGUGCCGCCCCUCCGCCUCCGCCCGGUGCGCGCACGCAGGGGCGCGGCGCCGGCCGGGCCGAGCCCGUCCCGGGGCGCUUGCUACUCCCGCCCACCCCACUUCCCCACCCGGCCUCGCCCCCUGACCGCCCCUCGCUGCUCCUCCCGGGCUGCACUCCUCUUCCACCCGCCGCGUCCCAAGCCCCUAGCUCGGAUCCUGGGCUUCAGCCUGCGUACCCCGGGGAUGCCAGGGCCCGCGGCCGCCGGCGCCCUCGGGGCACCAGAGAGAGAGAGAUGCUACGUUCUGUGCAAAACCUCUUACAGAUCACGCUGUGUAUUGAGUCCAGACGAAAAGCACAGGGAAAACCCCAACCUCGAGCGAGCCCCGUCUCACCUGAGGUCAGAACCUCUGAUGUUAGAGGGGCUGUUUUCGCAGCCAACAUGAACAUGGAGAAGGGACAAUUCAACCUUGUCUUCGCAGGUGGGUUUUCCCAAGCACGCGAUAAAGGAUGUAAACAGGAAGUGCUCCAUAAGCACUUCCGGUGGGAGGCUCUCUGUUAGGGGCUGGAGCAGAGGCUGGGGGAGGUGGGCGGGGACCCCGGAGCCCAGGAGUGGGUGUCCUUCCCUGCGGGAGUGGGCAACUGUCUGCUUUGAUGGCCCAGCUCUUUUUCCUCCUUCUACUGACAGCACCUUUUUUUUUCCUUAGAGAAAAGUGCUUCUCCUGUAGGCUCAGUCUGUAAUGUUUGGGUGGGACUCUGGCACACAGCAUGGAGGUACCUCUGAAAACUAAAUAUAGAACUACCAUUUGACCCACUCCUCCGCAUGUAUCCAGACAAAACUUUCACUGAAGAAGAUACAUGCACCCCUGUGCUCAUUGCAGUGCUAUUCACAAUAGCCAAGACAUGGAAACGACCUAAAUGUCCAUCAACAGAUGAAUGGGUUAAGAAGAUGUGAUAUAUAUAUAUAUAUAUACACACACACACACAAUGGAAUACUACUCAGCUAUAAAAAAGAACAAAGUAAUUUGCAGUGAUAUGGGUGGAACUAGAGACUCACAUACUAAGUGAAGUAAGUCAGAAAGAGGAAGACAAAUACCAUAUGACACCACUAAUAUCUGGAAGCUAAUAUACAGGUGGAAAUGAACCUAUCUAUGAAAAGAAACACACUCAUGGACUUGGAGAACAGAGUUGUGGUUGC